rnacentral:rRNA from 1 species
CCAGACCACCAGCUAAGGUCCCCAAUGUCGUACUAAGUGGAAAAGGAUGUGGGGUUUCAUAAACAACCAGGAUGUUGGCUCAGAAGCAGCCACCAUUUAAAGAGUGCGUAAUAGCUCACUGGUCGAGAGACCCUGCGCCGAAGAUUCCCGGGGCUAAAGUACGAAACCGAAGCUGUGGCUGUAUACGUAAAGUAUACGGGGUAGGGGAGCGUUCCCAUAGGGUAGAAGUCGAACUGGAAGGUUCGGUGGACUUGUGGGAAGUGAGAAUGUUGGUAUGAGUAGCGAAAAGAAAGGUGAGAAUCCUUUCCACCGAAAGCAUAAGGAUUCCUGAGCAACGAUCGUCGUCUCAGGGUAAGUCGGGACCUAAUCCGAGGCAGAGAGCGUAGGAGAUGGACAACUGGUUGAUAUUCCAGUACCGGUAGUAAUUGUUUGAGCAAUGGAGUGACACAGAAGGGCAGGCAAGCAUGCGAAUGGAAGAGCAUGUGUAAGCGUGUAGGGUGGUGCAUAGGCAAAUCCGUGCACUGAAAGCCUGAGGCGUGAUGCGGAGUGAGCAGAGAUGCGAGCGAAGUUGUUGACCCCACACUGUCGAGAAAAGCUUCUAGUGAGAGAGCUACCGCCCGUACCGUAAACCGACACAGGUAGGCGGGGAGAGAAUCCUAAGGUGCGCGGGAGAACCCUCGUUAAGGAACUCGGCAAAAUGUACCCGUAACUUCGGGAUAAGGGUAGCCACUGUUGUGAAGUCCCAUGCGGAUGGAGCAUAGAGUGGUCGCAGAGAAGAGGCCCAAGCGACUGUUUACCACAAACACAGGUGCCUGCUAAAGCGAAAGCUGACGUAUAGGUGCUGACACCUGCCCAGUGCCGGAAGGUUAAGGAAGGAUGUUCGGAUUAGUCCAAAGCAUUCGACUGAAGCCCCGGUGAACGGCGGCCGUAACUAUAACGGUCCUAAGGUAGCGAAAUUCCUUGUCGGGUAAGUUCCGACCCGCACGAAAGGUGUAACGACUUGGGCACUGUCUCAACGAGGGACCCGGUGAAAUUGAAGUACCUGUGAAGAUGCAGGUUACCCGCGACUGGACAGAAAGACCCCAUGGAGCUUUACUGUAACCUGACAUUGGGUUUUGAUACAUUACGUACAGGAUAGGUGGGAGGCAUGGAAAGCUGGACGCUAGUCUGGCUGGAGCCGCCGUUGGGAUACCACCCUUGAUGUAUUGAAAUUCUAACCGCGAGAGUAACGAAAUCCGGGACAGUGUCAGGCGGGCAGUUUGACUGGGGCGGUCGCCUCCGAAAGAGUAACGGAGGCGCCCAAAGGUUCCCUCAGCGCGGCCGGAAAUCGCGCGAAGAGUGUAAAGGCAGAAGGGAGCUUGACUGCGAGUCAAACACGACGAGCAGGUACGAAAGUAGGGCUUAGUGAUCCGGUGGUACCGAGUGGAAGGGCCAUCGCUCAACGGAUAAAAGCUACCCUGGGGAUAACAGGCU